ACCAGUAACACCCACUUUAUCAUGUAUGAGUGAGGAGAAAAUGCCUAAAGACUUACAAAGGCCUUUGUAUGUGACUGGAAUAAAGUGAUUGCUCAGUAAAUAUUGGCUAUUAUUAUAAUCCCUAAAAACACUCAGUUAACACUUUCAGAUCUUGUAGGCUCAUUGUGAGGUUUGGGGAUACAAACAAGACUAAUUGUGCCUUCAACAAUUUUCCAGGGUGGCAAGGGGGGGCAAGUACCAAAAAUUAUAAAGCAAGGGGCUAAGUUUUUUAAUAAGAAUAUGCUUGGAAUCUUUUAGGAACACUGAACAGGAGAAAGUAACUCUACCUAAGGACAAGAACAGAGAAGGUUGUACAGAAAAACCUCCUAGAGAGCGGACCUGAACUGGGUAAGACCAGACCAGAAGAGAGUGGCUUCAGGUAAAUGGAGGAAGUCUGUCCUGCUGGGAAGAUGAGAUGUGCAGUCUGCAGUGAAGGCUGGUCCUGCCCUCUGCUGACACUUGCCUGGUUCACAGGUAACAAAUGGAUCCAGUCUCCAUAAAGCCAUUAGGAAGAAAAGAGAGAGGUACUCUGGAGUCUGCCUCUGUGACAUCCACCUCACAGUCUCAAAGACCCACCUCCAGAUUACCCUUCCUGUAGGAUGUCAUUGUGCUUAAGGUUAAAAGGAUUAAAAAAGAAAACUUGGGAAAUCUACCUCAGAUGCCACCAGCACCAAGACUGCUUCUCCACCUGAAGGUGGCAAAGCAGAAAAGUAACUCCAGGCCAGCCAAGAGAAGCGCACGCUGCGCAGCUCUGACAGAGGGCUUUCCUGCCGACUUUUGCGACAUCGGGAAAUUUAGCCCUUGAUUGUUCAUACAGUACUUCUGUCAUGUUAAAAUGCAAACCCAUUUUCCAGCACCCUCCUCUUCCCCAAAAUCAGAAGUUCAACUUGUAUCCCACACUUGCCCCUGCUAGAGGCUGUGCUGGGGGACGGCAUCACUGCCAGUGUGCCUGGGUGUGAAGGAGCAAUGGAGCCUGGCUGACACACAACGGGGAACUAUAGAGCCAGCCUUCUGACUAGCCACAGUGGGAAACCUGACUCUCCGUAAAGUAACGUGAGGAUCCCCAAGAAAGUUUUCUCUUGACUAAAAAAUAUUCUGCACUAGUGAACUGUACUUUUUAAAGUUCCUAUUAGUUAUAAACCUUUAAUAUGUUUAUUUGGGGGGAGAACAUCAUUAUCAAUUAUUAACCUCUGCCUGAAAUAAGUGUAUUAGAAUUACCGAAGAAGGGUUAGAAAAGCUGUAUUUCAAUUUAAAACACAGAAUAUACAAAGGGAAGAAAAGAUCAGUUCCUUGCAGUAGUGUCCAUAAACAAAUAUACUAGAAUGGGGUUCCCUGAAAGUCAUGGUAAUAGGUUUUGGGGGCCUGGGGAGCUGCACACAAGAAAGAGAUCUGGGAAGACAGAAGAAGCCAAGAAUGAACCCUGUACAGAAGUUUGUUGAGAAAAAUGAAGCAAAUAUGAAAACUAUAUUGUUACUUAUAAAAUUAGAAUGUAUAUUUAAAUUAUAUUAUCCACAUUAAUAAGAUGAGAGAACAGACAGUCUCAUGCUGAUGAUAGUACUAUAAAUUGAUAGAUUUCUGUAAGGCAAUUUAAAUACCAAAAGAUUUAGAAUUAUGUGUGCCUUUAGGCUAUAAUUUCACUUCUGGGCAUUCAUUCUGUAUAAAUUAUCACAACUGAGCAAAGGUAGGGCAAUAUUAUUUCAAAUGGGGAAAAUAGUAGAAAAUUCUUCUAUUAUUUCCAUAUUUUAGCUUAGCUGUAAUUUCUAUAAUAAACAUAAAUUAAUUGUGGGAUGAGAAAUCAACAAUAAAUCCUGUUAAAAAACAAAAGCAGUGUCCAAUCUGUG